rnacentral:lncRNA from 1 species
CAGAUCCUGAAGCUGAGGCUCCAAUUCUUUGGCCACCUCAUGAGAAGAGAAGACUCCCUGGAAAAGACCCUGAUGUUGGGAAAGAUGGAGGGCACAAGGAGAAGGGGACAACAGAGGACGAGAUGGUGGGACAGUGUUCUUGAAGCUACCAGCAUGAGUUUGACCAAACUGUGGGAGGCAGUGGAAGACAGGAGGGCCUGGCGUGCUCUGGUCCACGGGGACACGAAGAGUCGGACACGACUAAACAACAACUUUUAAAGCCAGUACAGUUUAACUACACUGCCCCGACGAUGGGGUCCAGAAGCAGGCCAGACUUGUUGAAGGGUUAACUCCCAAGUAAGAGAUGAUGUCGAACGCUGGCGGCCUUCGGAGAUUUGCUGGGCGAGCAAACUCCUUCGGAGACUUUCUUUCCUGGAAAGUCGAUUGUGGGGCAAUUGCGCUAGAUGGGGGAAGCAAACAGAACUGCUCCUUUCCCGUGGCGCUGUUGCUGUUCUGGAGACACUAGAUCACCCUGCGGGGAGACGUCUGUCUGUCUGUUUGUCUGUACGCCACAUGUUUCAGGAAUAAAGUGGCCCCAGGGAGGGGGUUGGCGGCUUGUCGCUGGGAGCAUGUACUCUUUCCAGACUUCAAUGCAAAGCCUGCGCCAAAUUAACGUGCGGUUCUUUAAGAAGAAAAGCAAAGAACACAGCGCUUUCUAGUUCUUCUGCAAAUCGUGGCUCUUCGUUUCUGAGUCUGUAGACAUGGCUGCUACCUGCGGGCUGAUUUUCCAUCACUCAUUGGUGCUGAUAACACUCAAGGUUGCAGGUUCAAUCCCUGUAUGGACCAGCUGCAUAUUCCUGCAUUGCAGGGGGUUGGACUAGAUGAUCCUCAGGGUCCCUUCCAACUCUACAGUUCUAUGAUUCUAUGAUUCUAUGAUUGAAUCACCAGCUGGCUACAAUGCAGGAAUGGCCCUCAAUCUCUUGCCGUCUGCUAAAGACAAGCCAGUGCAGUGGUGAGUGCUUCGUAGGAUAGCUUGAUCCUGCGGAACGCUCCAAGCAGAAGUGUUUUUGAAGUAUGACAUUGAGAUGAGAAUAUUGCAUCUGUGGUGGAUUCUUCAUAAUAAUAAUAAUUAAUAAAUAAAUAAAUAAAUAAAUAAAUAAAUUUUAUUUAUACCCCGCUCUCCCCAGCCAAGACCAGGCUCAGGGCGACUAACACCAGGUAUAAAAACAAUUGAUUAAAAUACAACUUAAAAACAAGAUUAAAAUACAACAUUAAAAUGCAGCCUCAUUUCAGUAGAAACUCAAAUCAAAAACUUUUUGGGGGUGAAAACAUCAAGUCGUCAGCAAGGCCAACUAUCCAGACUGGUCCUACGUGGGCCAGAAAAAAGCCAGGGAAGUCCCCAAAUAGGAGUUUCAUUACAGAAGGAGAAAGGAAACAGGAAAGAGGGGGAGUGGAUCAUGUUUGUUAAGUUGUGGGUAAACAUAUCAGACGACACAGCAAUUCUUCAAACAGCUCUUGUUUAUUCACAGGCCAGAACAGACCUGAACUGAAGGGUUCAGCCAGCCUGCUUAUAUAGAGCUCCACUACAACGCAACUGUAACAACUUUCUGUAAAUAUCCAGUCACUGAACGUCACUUUCAAUCCCUUAUUUGCAUAUGUGGACCUGAGUGAAAACUAUCUACAGUAUCCCCCUGCUGGCCCAGGGUGAGAACUUCUGUACAUAACAAAGUUGAUUCCAAGCCAAAGGCCAGGUGGAACAACUCUGUCUUACAGGCCCUGCAGAAAGAAAUCAGAUCCCACAGGGCCCUGGUCUCAUGAGGCAGAGCGUUCCACCAGUGUUGAAAAGGCCCUGGCUCUGGCUGAGGCUAAUCUGACUUCCUUAGGGCCCGGGAACAUGAGGGUCUUGCUAUUUAUGGACCUUAAGGUCCUUCGCGGGGCAUACCAGGAGAGGCGGUCCCAUAGGUACAAUGGUCCAUACUGGAUUGUCCACACAUUGUUCUGCUUUGCUAGUUGUUCGGAGGUGCUUUUUCAAGGAUAACGCAUUCGUGCCCUCUGGAGGGGGCACCUGUUGGUAUCUGUCUGCUGUGCUACAACACAACGAAAGGGCUGGAGGGAAAACCCAGCCCUGGAAACAUUUCAUAGAAUCAUAUAAUUGUGUGGUGAGUUCCCCCCCCCCCAGGUGGAAAUAAUGACGCAUGACACAAUUAUUAAGGUUAAUGGGCUAAAAAAGGCCACAACUUUAUUGGUUACAGGUGAUGAGCGGUAUUGGCUUAGGCACUGGUCCUAACCGACUAUAUCCGACUCCAGCCUGUCUGCUGGAAGUCCGGGUAGGGUUAACCACCAAUAGGGGGCGUCCUGCUGAUGCACAUCAACUAGGAACUCCCCUGGGGUCACCAAUGGGGGGGGGGCCUUAGGCCUUCACCUCCCUAGGCUUCGGACAGGGCCACACCCCCCAGAAUCCUUUAUCGGACUACCCUUCAAUAUGCGGGGUAGGUGAUGGCGCUUCCUCCCCUCUUCCAUCUACAGAACAAUACCAAUGCCUAACCACCAAUACCCAGAAAGUUGUUACGAUUUGCUAUGAGGCAGGCGGAAACCAAGUAGCUGGUGCCAAUUUGUCAAGUGGAAAAAUUCCUACCAGGCCCCUCAAAGGCGACCAACCAAGGUCCAUAGCAAAGUCAAGGAACGAAAAAGGCCACGCCCCCAGAGCCAGCUGAUUGGCUGGCCAGGGGGUGACGCGGCCGGGAAUCUCCCCAAUCGUGCGGGGGCUGGGCUCCAGCCGCUGCGCACGUGGUGGGGCCGUGAAGCCUGCAAGCCCACCUCCGCUGAAGGGCAGAAGUGGCUUUGCAGAGUUGGAAGGAACACAAAGGGUCAUCCAGUCCCAGUGGCGGAGGAAGCCUCUCGGGCACGUGGGGCGGGGUGCCCUGCCCAUAGGGACAUGGCACGUGCGGCUUCAUCUAGGGGCAUGAUGGCCCAUCCUGUCUGCUGUCCGCCCUCUGCCUCCCCCCAGCUGUAGGGCGGCUGAGGCCCCACGGCACAGCGCGUCCCUAUAGGUGCUGCACGUUCCGUCGUGUCCCUAUCGACAUGGCGGCGAUCCGCCCAGGGGGGAUUUUGUCACCCCCCCCUUCAGGGAUGGCACCCGGAGUGCGCUGCCCCCUCCGCCCCUGCCUUUCUCCUCCAUUGUCCUGUCCAGCCCCCUGCAAUGGGGUAGUGUUAAGUUGUGGGUGAACAUAUCAGACGACACAGCGAUUCUUCAGACAGCUCUUGUUUAUUCUCAGGCCAGAACAGAACUGAACUGAAGGGUUCAGCCAGCCUGCUUAUAUAAGAGCACCACUACAACGCAACAGUAACCAUUUUCUGCAACUAUCCAAUCACUGAACGUCACUUUCAAUCCCUUAUUUGCAUAUGUGGACCUGAGUGAAAACUAUCUACAGUAUCCCCCUGCUGGCCCAGGGUGAGAACCUCAGUACAUAACAGGUAUAAAAGGUUGCAGGAUUUCAGCAGGAAACUAUGAGACAAGGGAAAUGAAGCCCUGAAAUUUCAUUGGAGAUGGGAUUGUGCCGAACUGCCCCAAUCCUACCAUCAGCAAAAAUAAUCAUAAUGCACAAUAGAAAAGAUGGAGUCCUAUAUUGGGAUCACACAGGAAGUACUAAGAUGGCCAUUUGUGUUUUGUUCCUAUGCAAUUUUGUUCCUAUGCAGUUAUCCCUUUGCCAAAAUUUUAUUUGUAUAGCUUGCUCAAAGAGAGAGGGGGGAGGGAGGGAGAGAAACUAACUACUUUGGGAAGGUGUAACCAAAUACCUCCAGCAGUUUUGUAAUCCGUUGAACGUGGCUCCUGAUUUGACCCAGCUUUGCUGCUCUCUUUGAAAGCACACUCCAUUUCGAACGACCUAACCACAUCACGUCAUCGCCAUUGUUUAGCUGGCUGGCUGCGGUUCUGAACUCUGGGGGAGCCUUCUGUGUAAAUUGAAAGCGCCGUUCCAAAUCCAUUGAAACUCGUGGCUGAGGUCCUGCUGUCCUUUUUUGUGUGCCUGCGUUGUAUCAAUUCAAGAAACAAGAGCUGGGGGUUAAAAACUAGACUGUUUAUUUCUCAGUUGGCCUUCUUCCUACCUGAUACCUUCCGGACUUCAACUCCCAACCAUCCCUACCUAGUGUGGCCAUUUUGGACUACAACUUCCAUUUUGGAUUAACGCCAGCCCCCGACACUGCUAAAUUUCGUCAGCAAUGUCUAGGCAACACAAUGGCCAUGUACAUAUGCAAUAGACUUUGUACAACUUUGGACACAUAACCACAGACUCUUGAACAUAUUGUGUUAUUUGUGGAAAAGGAGCCUUCUCCUCUGGAGGGUUACAAAACCAACCUGUUUCUGGGAUCUCCUGGAUUUCCCCCCACCCUAUAGCCCUCAAGGGAGGAGAGAUGGUUGUGUGAAAUGAGGGUCAAACCAUCCCACAGGUUGAGGAACAUUUUAUCACAUGUGGUGGGAAUGUAAGAAAGGAAAGAACUUCUGGGAAAUGAUAUAUAAUGAGAUGAAAAAGAUGUUUAAAUAUACAUUUUUUAAAAAACCAGAAGCAUUUCUACUUGGUAUUAUAGGCCAAGACAUUAAUAGGCAAGAUGUUAAAUUGUUCUUAUAUGCAACAACAGCGGCAAGAGUACAGUGGUACCUCGGGUUACAUACACUUCAGGUUACAGACUCCGCUAACCCAGAAAUAGUGCUUCAGGUUAAGAACUUUGCUUCAGGAUAAGAACAGAAAUCGGGCUCCGGCGGCGUGGCGGCAGCAGGAGGCCCCAUUAGCUAAAGUGGUGCUUCAGGUUAAGAACAGUUUCAGGUUAAGAGCGGACCUCCGGAACAAAUUAAGUACUUAACCAAAGGUACCACUGCACUGUUAGCCCAGAAAUGGAAGCAAGAAGAAAUUCCGAUGUAAGAAGAAAGGCAGACGAAAUUAAUGGAGUAGGCAGAAUUGGACAAAAUGACAGGAAGGAUUCGAAACCUGUGGGACCAGGGAUUUACAGAAGAUUGGAAGAAGUAUAUGAAUUAUUUGAAGAGCAACUGUAAUCAGCAAAUUACGCUAGUAGGACUACAAGAAGUUUUGUAAGGGGAAAUAUACGAUGUGUUACAAAGUAGAAAAAGAUAGAGAUAUUGGUUAUGAGUUUGAAAUGUAAUAGGGAAGAUAAGAAAUGCAUACUAAGAGAUUAGAUUGGAAAAUUUUCAGACAGGACUGAUGGAAGUCAAAAAAACUGAAUAGGAUGUAAAAGUAUGUUUAAUUACUGUUGAAAAUGGCAUGUUAAAAAACUAAUAAAAAUUUAUAUAAAAGUAAAACCAUCCGACAGGUUGAAGUGACCCAUAUCUCCUGGUUUGUUAACGUGCUGAUAUUAUCAGUACGUUCUUCCUAGUCACCCUCCCAGAUGCCAGAGAAAACCAUUUAGCUAAAAUUAGCAGCGCCAUUAGGCCCAAAGGUCAGCCGCCUUCUCCAAAAUAGCAAGAGGGGCGGCUAUGAUGUCAGCGUUCAGGAUCUGCUGAUCGAGGCUUCCUGGAUUCCUGGUGUCGUGUGUGACAGACUUGGAAUCCAGGUCAACGCUCUCUUUCUCUGCUUCGCUCCAAGAGAAAUUCCUCCCUCCAUCACUCCCCCAAACCGUCUCGGGUUGACUCAAACAGGAGAUAAUCCAAUUUGCUCCCUGGCAUCAUUUCAGGGAAGUCUUACUGCCGAGGAAACCUGACCCUGCAGACGGCGUUAGCGUCAGUCUUUUGUGUUUGAGGGAGAGGCCCUUCUCAGAAGUGGCAAGAUGGCCGACAGGACGCAGUGGACAAGUGACAAAACGUUCUGUGAAAACCAUUUUAUUUAUUUUUAAAGGAAAGAACAGCAUCUUAAAAAGCAGAGACAUCACCUUGCCGACAAAGGUCCGUAUAGUUCAAGCUCUGGUUUUCCCAGUAGUGAUAUAUGGAAGUGAGAGCUGGACCGAAAAGAAGGCUGAUCGCCGAAGAAUUGAUGCUUUUGAAUUCUGGUGCUGGAGAGUCCCAUGGACUGCAAGAAGAUCAAACCUCUCCAUUCUGAAGGAAAUCAGCCUUGAGUGCUCACUGGAAGGACAGAUCCUGAAACUGAGACUCCAAUACUUUGGCCACCUCAUGGGAAAAGAAGACUCCCUGGAAAAGACCCUGAUGUUGGGAAAGAUGGAGGGCACAAGGAGAAGGGGACGACAGAGGACAAGAUGGUUGGACAGUGUUCUCGAAGGGACCAGCAUGAGUUUGACCAAACUGCGAGAGGCAGUAGAAGAUAGGAGUGCUUGGCGUGCUCUGGUCCAGGGGGUCACGAAGAGUCGGACACGACUAAACAACUAAACAACAACAACAAGAAAAGCAAAGGCGCAGAAGUGAAUUUCGGGGAUCCUGACCAGUUCAGUCGCACUGGGUCUGGAGUCUUGGGGCGUCCCAUGUAUGUUGGCGGUGGCAGUCAAAUUUUGCCACCAUACAGAAGAAAUUCCGACGAAAGAAGAAUGGCAGACAAAAUUAAUGGGCUAUGCAGAAUUAGAUAAAAUGACGGGAAGGAUUUGAAACCUGUGGGAACAGAGAUUUACAGAAGAUUGGAAGAAAUAUACGAACUAUUUGAAGAGCAACUGUAAUCAACAAAUUACGCUAGUAGGACUACAAGAAGUUUUGUAUGAAGCAUUGCAAAGUAGAGAAAGAAUAGAGAUAGUAGUUAGGAAUUAAAUGUAAUUGUGGAAGUAAGAAAUGUAUAUUUAGUGAAUAGACUGGAAAAUUUUUCAGAUGUGAUUGAUGGAAGUCAAAAAAAUGGUAUGAGAUAUGAAAGUAUGUUUAAUUACUGUUGAAAAUGAUAUGUUGAAAAACUAGUUUUUUAUAUAUAUAUUGUGUGUGUGUGUGUGUGUGUGUGUGUGUGUGUGUGUAUGCCACCAUACAGGGUGUUGCUGAAAAUUUAGCAAUCCAGAAUGUCACAGAGAGCUUUGAGAAGAAAAUGGGAUCCACCAAGCUUUCUGGGCUGCUUUCUGUAUGUCCAGGGGCGCCAACUUGAAUAAAAUAUGGGGGGCAGGUAAGCCGCACCCCUUAUAAUCAACCACAAGGUGAGGCACAUGCACACCAAUUGAAUGGCAGUGAUCAUAAAUUUUGGGGUUCUGGUGCCCUCAAAUAUUUUAUUUGGGGGCUGAAGGGACCUUGGCCCUUAAGAGUUGACUCCUAUGUGUACGUCUGUGGCCAUCUUGAAUCCAGAGGUACGUCCAUAUGAGUGCUAAUGAGGGAAUACUUUGUUCCCUCAGUUUUUAGGGGUUGUGUACAUGAUGUUGUCUUCCUUAUCAUGGCUCCCCUGCAUUUUCUCCAUGGUUCUUCCACAGAAAACCCACCUUUUCAAGGAAGGAGCGGAAUAGCAGCACUGUCUCCACAAAUGUGGACUCUCUCAGCGCUAACAUUUCAAACCUUUCCCCAAGGCUCUGGCAUUUUGGGUGGACCAAACCUAUCGGUUUGGCACACCUUCAGGGGCCUUGUGGCAUCCUGGAUGAGGCCCUGAGAGACCGGGGUUCAAAUUCCCCACGAAGAUCACUGGGUGCCCUUGGGCCGGCCGCUGCCUCUCGACCUCGCAGGGUCGUUGUGAGGAUAAAAUGGGAAGAACUACACAGACCGCUGUGAGCUCCUCAAGAAGGUCUCAGAAAAUAUAUCAGGAGGGACCGUUUGCGCUUCCUGCUCAGGCCUAGUUUGCACUGACUCAGCCUCUCCUGCCUUGAACAUGCCCCUUUAAACAUGCCCACAUUCAACUGGAAAUCAGGAUUGGAUAUCCAUGCUCCCUACUUGUCUGAGCAGAGGUGCAAAGUGCUUCUCUUCCUGAAACGAUGCAGGAGAAGCUACUGUUAAGUGUUUUUAUUUUCUGCUGAUGGGGUGCAAUAGUCCUCUCUCCUGCUGUUGAGCCUGGGUGCAAUAGCCCUCUGUCCUGCUGCUGAACAUGGAUGCAAUAGCCCUCUGUCCUGCUGCAGAACAGGGAUGCAAUAGCCCUCUCUCCUGCUGUUGAGCCUGGAUGCAAUAGGCCUCUGUCCUGCUGCAGAACAUGAAGUGCAAUAGUCCUCUCUCCUGCUGUUGAGCCUGGGUGCAAUAGCCCUCUGUCCUGCUGCAGAACAUGGAUGCAAUAGCCCUCUGUCCUGCUGCAGAACAGGGAUGCAAUAGUCCUCUCUCCUGCUGUUGAGCCUGGAUGCAAUAGCCCUCUGUCCUGCUGCAGAACAUGGAUGCAAUAGACCUCUCUCCUGCUGUUGAGCCUGGAUGCAAUAGCCCUCUGUCCUGCUGCAGAACAUAGAUGCAAUAGACCUCUCUCCUGCUAUUGAGCCUGGGUGCAAUAGCCCUCUGCCCUGCUGCAGAACAUAGAUGCAAUAGCCCUCUCUCCUGCUGUUGAGCCUGGAUGCAAUAGGCCUCUGUCCUGCUGCAGAACAUGAAGUGCAAUAGUCCUCUCUCCUGCUGUUGAGCCUGGAUGCAAUAGCCCUCUGUCCUGCUGCAGAACAUGGAUGCAAUAGACCUCUCUCCUGCUAUUGAGCCUGGGUGCAAUAGCCCUCUGCCCUGCUGCAGAACAUGGAUGCAAUAGACCUCUCUCCUGCUGUUGAGCCUGGAUGCAAUAGCCCUCUGUCCUGCUGCAGAACAUGGAUGCAAUAGACCUCUCUCCUGCUAUUGAGCCUGGAUGCAAUAGCCCUCUGCCCUGCUGCAGAACAUAGAUGCAAUAGACCUCUCUCCUGCUAUUGAGCCUGGGUGCAAUAGCCCUCUGCCCUGCUGCAGAACAUGGAUGCAAUAGACCUCUCUCCUGCUAUUGAGCCUGGAUGCAAUAGCCCUCUGCCCUGCUGCAGAACAUGGAUGCAAUAGACCUCUCUCCUGCUAUUGAGCCUGGAUGCAAUAGCCCUCUGCCCUGCUGCAGAACAUGGAUGCAAUAGACCUCUCUCCUGCUGUUGAGCCUGGGUGCAAUAGCCCUCUGUCCUGCUGCAGAACAUGGAUGCAAUAGACCUCUCUCCUGCUAUUGAGCCUGGGUGCAAUAGCCCUCUGUCCUGCUGUUGAACAUGUGUGCAUAGGCCUCUGUCCUGCUGUUAUCCCCCACGAACUGAUAUUCAGUGUCAUUCUGUCUCUGAUCCUGAAGGCGGCUUAUAGCCAUCAUCGACUGAUCGCCUCCUCCUCUCGCUCCCUGGAUUUCUCUAAUCCCCUGUUUAGAGACACUUCUGGUUUGGUCCAAUGUGUUGUCAGCUCCCAUGUUUUUAUUAAGUCCUCACUCUCACUCGAACAGUACAUCUCAUCCCCUAAAAUAGAGCCGCCUGGCCGUGCUCUUGUAAAUAUGCGCUGAUACUUUCAAGAAGCCGAGGAGAUUCUGUUUUGCUUCAGCCCACCCCUGACGCCUCUGAAAACUCGCGGCUGUUCUCUGCCUCGCAGGAUGGCUCCCUUUGCAGAGACACAUAAACUACUGAUGGCAUCAAGGAACGGCAUUUUGGUUCGCAAACAACUCACAAAGGGAAAGGUCACGUAUUUUUGGCCCUGGGAAGAAACAGCCAAUAAACCAGAAACACGGCCUUUCCAUUUCUAUAAUUGGAAUUCCCUCGGGAUGAGUUUUCUGCCCCUAUCCCUGUUUAGGGUUCUCCUGUGCCCUUCUGUAUUUUACAAGAGAGCCAGAGUGUUGCUGGGUCACAGUUUGGGGAUUUAAGCCACAACGGCACCAGAGCCUUAAAGCACAGUGUUGCCACUUUAUCAGCCAUGGCUUCCCUCCCAAAGCAUUCUGGGAACCAUAGUUCUUUAAGGGUGCUGAGAGUUCCCAGGAGGCCCCAGUUCACCUCACAGAGCCACAGUUCCCAGAGUUCCCUCAGAAGAGGGAUCGAUUGUUAAGCCGCUCUGAAAAUUGUAGUUUUGGGUGGCGGACAACUCUCAGCAUAUUGGAGCAUCUCUGUGGGUCCGACUCAGGGGCACCAACUUGGGCCACAGAUGAUGGGUGCCUAGCGCAUGUGACGUGACAUCAUGACGUCAUGUACCACACAGCCUCAGAACCUGAUGUCUGGGGCCACGUGAUCCGUGUGGGAGGCAUGUUCGCAACCCGCAGCGCCAUGUCUGCGCACAUACGGGUUGCAAUUUGGCGCUUCUGCACAUGCGCAAAGCGCGAUUUAGUGUUUCUGUGCAUGCGCGAGCGCCAAAACCCAGAAGUAACCCAUUCCGGUACUUCUGGGUUCGGCACGGUGCGCAACCCGAAAACGCGCAACCUGAAACAUCUGUAACCUGAGGUAUGACUGUAGUUUGAAUAUUCCACAAACUUUUUUUCAAUUUUUCUUGGGGGGGGGGCAGCUUUGGAAAAAACCUGGGGUUUUUUCAGGCCUUCCCAUUUUUACCCAAAACACAUGUUUUUGGGUGCUGUGCCCCCGAAAAGAACUUUUUCCAGGCCUGCAGUCUUGCGUGUAUCACAUGACUCGUGCGGGAUUCCAGACUUGGAAAGUGGUGUCCCAAAUUUGGGGUGUGUUGUGUUGAAGAGUAUGUAGCACAUGGCUUCUCCCGAUGAAUCCUGGGAACUGCAAUUUAACCCUCACAGAGCCGGAAUUGCCAUCAGUUUCACGAACCAUAGCUUUGAGAAUUCUUUGGGCGAGUCUUAUGUUUACCAGGAUGGUAGGGUGCCUCCGGGCUUGUGCUUUUUGUGUGGUGUAUUCUGCAACAAGGACGCGGGUGGCGCUGUGGGUUAAACCACAGAGCUUUGGGCUUGCCGAUCAGAAGGUCACCGGUUCGAAUCCCCACGACGGGCUGAGCUCCCGUUGCUCGGUCCCUGCUCCUGCCAACCUAGCAGUUCGAAAGCACGUCAAAGUGCAAGUAGAUAAAUAGGUACCGCUCCGGCGGGAAGGUAAACGGCGUUUCCGUGCUCUGCUCUGGUUCGCCAGAAGCGGCUUAGUCAUGCUGGCCACAUGACCCGGAAGCUGUAUGCUGGCUCCCUCGGCCUAUAGAGCGAGAUGAGCACCCCAACCCCAGAGUCGGCCACGACUGGACCUAAUGGUCAGGGGUCCCUUUACCUUUACCUAUUCUGCAACAAUAGUCAUUAGCGAUGGAUUUAUACUGGACCAUCCACACCUUGUUCCAUUUUGCAAGUUGUUGUGUGAUGUUUCUGCGGCGUUGCCUCAUUAUUGCCGUCUGGAGGGUCACUCAUGCACUAUAGCCCAAGAAAAGCGGGCAAAGAAGAACGCUGAGUAUUUGUGGUGUGAAAAGUCUGAGAAGGAUUUUUUGCAGGUGUGAAACGUACUGAAAGCAGGAUGACUUCUAACCACCUUGAUGCCGUCAUGAGCACAAAGAAGGACAUUUGAGGCACCCGGUUUUUUGGGGGGGGACUCUUAAGAAAGUCAUGCAUUGCAAAAGUAUUUCUUGAGCUGAACCAAGUCGGUCUCAAAAAGGGAGGGAUUUGAGUGAUCCCUGAAAACAGACUAUGGAUGAGGGAGAGCCAGUGCCACAUUUACAUAUAAGCUAAGCAAGCUAUAGCUUAGGGCCCCACUCUCUUGGGGCCCCCCCCAAAAAUUGCACUGUUAAUAUACUUCUUAAUUGUAUUUCAGUUCAACGAUCACUUUGAUAAAAUACAUAUUUUUUUAUGUGCAAAUGGCUUUAAAUACCUAUUAGGUCCAUCAAUUACCAUAUAGCAAUGACAAACCUAGACAGCAUCUUAAAAAGCAGAGACAUCACCUUGCCAACAAAGGUCCGUAUAGUUAAAGCUAUGGUUUUCCCAGUAGUUAUGUAUGGAAGUGAGAGCUGGACCAUAAAGAAGGCUGAUCGCCGAAGAAUUGAUGCUUUUGAAUUCUGGUGCUGGAGGAGACUCUUGAGAGUCCCAUGGACUGCAUGAAGACCAAACCUAUCCAUUCUGAAGGAAAUCAGCCCUGAGUGCUCAUUGGAAGGACAGAUCCUGAAGCUGAGGCCCCAAGACUUUGGCCACCUCAUGAGAAGAGAAGACUCCCUGGAAAAGACCCUGAAGUUGGGAAAGAUGGAGGGCACAAGAAGAAGGGGACGACAGAGGACCAGAUGGUUGGACAGUGCUCUCGAAGCUACCAAGUUGAGUUUGACCAAACUGCGGGAGGCUGUGGAAGACAGGAGUGCCUGGUGUGCUCUGGUCCAGGGGGUCACGAAGAGUCGGACACGACUAAACAACAACAUAUAUAUCAGCGGCCAUUUGUUGUUGACAGCUGGACAUAUAAAGGGCCCCAUUACCUUCAGAAGCUUAGGGCCUCAUCAGACCUAAAUCUGGCCCUAAGGAGAGUCCUGUGUCUUCAUAGCAACCCAUCUCCUCUGGGUAAACUCCACUUUUUCAACCGAGCUAUAUUUCUUGGGAUGGGAAUGUAAACGGAGAAAUUCUCCUGAAGAUCAGGGGAGAUUAUAAAGAUGUACUACCUAGGUAACCAAACCUCUGCGGGAAGAAAAAUCUAUCUGUAAAGGCAGCCGCUCUCCCCCAAGAAAGGGCUAAGGAUUUCCACAGUUAUAGAAGGCUGAGUCCAAGCUGCUCUAGCAACUGGGUGGCUUUCAGCAGUGCACAAAUAACAGUUUACAUUUCGCGAUGUGCAGUAUGUACUGGUUUAUUUUUGGGUAUUCUUUUGUAAGCUGGCCUGGGGGAUGAUGAUUAAAACAUAAAAUAGCAGAGUUGUCCAGCCCCAUGAUAAUUUUGGUUGCCAUUCCUGGAAACAUUUCUAGCUCUGAUAUUUCCUUUUUGAGCAGAGGCGACCCAAAGCGUCAGCAGAUGUGUUCGCGCCGUAGAUUUGUAUCACGGCAUAGGGAUAUCGGCCUUCUGUAGCUUUGUCGUUGCUCUCGGGAGAACAUAAAAAGAUCAGAAGAACACUGCUGGAUCAGGCCCACGUAGUCCAGCAUCCUGUUCACACAGUGGCCAGCCACAGAGGUGGUUUUCAGGUGGCGCAACCGGUUCAGAAAUAGCAUCCGGGUGGAAUUUCCGAAAUUGGUGGAACUGUCCAGGAAAACCCGGGUGUGUGGCACAACCCAUGUCGGAAGUGUUGAUUGCUUGGCUAAUUUCUUUUUAAUUUUUUAAUUUUUGCAAAAGAAGUUCCAACAACUUUUGUGUCCGGAUUUUCACUUUUUGAAAUAUGGCAGCCCUAUUUAAACAGGAAGGACGCGGGUGGCGCUGUGGUCUAAACCACAGAGCCUAGGACUUGCCUAUCAGAAGGUCAGCGGUUCGUAUCCCCGUGACGGGGUGAGCUCCCGUUGCUCGGUCCCUGCUCCUGCCAACCUAGCAGUUCAAAAGGACGUCAAAGUACAAGUAGAUAAAAAGGUACCGCUCCGGCGGGAAGGUAAACGGCGUUUCCGUGCACUGCUCUGGUUUGCCAGAAGCAGCUUAGUCCUGCUGGCCACAUGACCCGGAAGCUGAACGCCGGCUCCCUCUGACAGUAAAGCGAGAUGAGCGCCGCAACCCCAGAGUCAGCCACAACUGGACCUAAUGGUCAGGGGUCCCUUUAUCUUACUUAAACAGGGCACCAAAACAAUGCUGUAGAAUGGAGUGCAGGGUGUGUGUGUGUGUGUGUGUGUGUGUGUGUGUGCUGAAUGUGAGAGUUGCCCAGGGCGCCACUGGAAUUUGAGAGCCCAAAAUCUACCACUGCCAACAAGAUGCCCAUGGAAAACCCGCAAGCAAGAUCCAAGCAUAAGAAUAAUAAUAAUUAAUUAAUUUAUACCCCGCCCAUCCGGUUGGGUUUCCCCAGCCAUUUUGGUCGGCUUCCAGCGAAAUAUUAAAUUACAAUAAUUCAUCAAAUAUUAAAAGCUUUCCAAACAGGGCUGCCUUCAGGUGUCUUCUAAAAAUCAGUAGUUGUUUAUCUCUUUGACAUCUGGUGGGAGGGUGUUCCACAGGGCGGACGCCACUAAAGAAAAGGCCCUCCGCCUGGUUCCCUGUAACUUGGCUUCUCGCAGGGAGGGAACCGCCAGAAGACCCUUGGUGCUGGACCUCAGUGUCCGGGCUGAACGAUGGGGGUGGAGACGCUCCUUCAGGUAUACUGGGCCGAGGCCGUUUAGGGCUUUAAAAGUCAGCACCAACACUUUGAAUUGUGCUUGGAAACGUACUGGGAGCCAGUGUAGGUCUUUCAGGACCGGUGUUAUGUGGUCUCAGUGGCCGCUCCCAGUCACCAUUCUAGCUGCCGCAGUUUCCGAGUCACCUUUAAAGAUGGCCCCACAUAGAGCGCCUUGCAGUAGUCCAAGGGGGAGAUAACCAGAGCAUGCACCACUCUGGCGAGACAGUCCGCAGGCAGGGAGGGUAUCAUCCUGCGUACCAGAUGGAGCUGGCAGACAGCCGCCCUGGACACAGAAUUGACCAGCGCCUCCAUGGACAGCUGUGAGUUCAGAAUGACUCCCAGGCUGCAUACCUGGUCCUUCAGGGGCACAGUGACCCCAUUCAGGACCAGAGAGUCCUCCACACCUGCCCACCCCCUGUCCCCCCAAAAACAGUACUUGUCUUGUCAGGAUUCAACCUCAAUCUGUUAGCCGCCAUCCAUCCUCCAUGCUCCAAGAAGAGCCCUCUCCUCUCCUGUGGUUUCUAGGGACUGCUAUUCAUUACUGCUAUUCUAGGGACAGCAUUACUGUCACCAAAUGAGGAGGCAGAGGACAGCCUUUGUGACUGGUAGCCAUCGACAGCCCUUUCCUAGGACCAACGUACCUACGGCCUAGGACCCAUGUACCUGCGGGACCACCUCUCCUGGUCUGCCCCGCGUAGGUCCUUAAGGUCCACAAAUGACAACAUUUUUGAGGUCCCAAGCCGCAAGGUGGUCUCAACCAGGGCCAGGGCCUUUUCAGCACUGGCCCCGACUUGGUAGAAUGCUCUGUCACAAGAGACCAGGGCCCUGCGGGACUUGACAUCUUUCCACAGGGCCUGCAAGACAGAGCUGUUCCGCCUGGCCUUUGGUUUGGACUCAGUCUGACCCUUAUGUUUCCCUCCCCUUAUGGUUUUGAUGAGGCUGCAUUUUAAAUUGCACUGUAACCUGUAUUUUAAAUUGGUCCCCCCCCCAUUAUGUUUUUACUGUAAUUUUACUGUUGUUAGCCGCCCUGAGCCUGGCUCUGGCCGGGGAGGGCGGGGUAUAAAUAAAUUUUAUUUUUAUUUUUAUUUUUAUUUUUAUUAUUAUUAUUAUUAUUAUUAUUAUUAUUAUUAUUUCCUCAAUGAAAGGCUCGCUGCAGCAGUAAUAGAUUCUCAGUCUGACCCCACUGAACAAAGGGAGUCAGUCUCUCUCCCUCUUUCCCCCACAUAUAUGUGUUCAUGCAUGUACAUUCGUAUAAACUUUGUAGUUCAAUUUAGCUUGGGGGCUUUGACUUUCGGCCAGCGCGCUGCUUUUCCUUCGAACCGCUUCCAAGAGAGAAAAGCUGGGAGACAGAUGUGCUCAGAAACCCCUGGGAAGCAGCUGGAUCCCUCUAUAAACACCAGCACGGUGGAGACUGGAUCGUCCCCAACCUUAACAUCUCUAACGUCUCCAAACAUCAUAAGCAGGAUUACAUCAUGAGGCUCUGAGGCAAGGUUCAUGUGGAAUCGACUGCUCAGCUGGCCGGAUAGAUUUUUUCUCCCAAACAACCUGAGCUCCAUGCGCUGCUUUUAGGAAGCCGAGGCGUCUAGGCCAGGGGUCUGCAACCUUUAAGACAAAAAGAGCCACUUGGACCCGUUUCCGAAGAAAAAAAAACUGGGAGCCGCAAAACUCGCCAUUAUAAAAAUAACUUUUUUGUCACAUUUUUUUAAUUAUUUCUUUGUUUGACCCCUCAGAAUCACUCCUCCUCAUAGAAAUAAACGUUAAAUUAACAAGUUACCUUUUUGUGUGUGUGUGUUCUUCACUCCCCUUCAAAACAGUGACCAGCGUACAUGCCCCCUUUCAAUGCAGUGACCAGCGUACAUGCCCCUUACAAUGUAGCGGGCGGGCGGGAAGGUGACGUCGGGACGGUGCGUGACUAACGCACGCACCCCCCCCCAUGCGACGUCACAGCCAGUACAGCGCCCGCCACAGUGGGGAGUGUCGGGGCGCACAAUGCGCCUCCUCCCCUCACUAGUAUCCGCCCCGGGGCCGCGGCAAAGGUGUAAAAGAGCCACAUGCGGCUCCGGAGCCGCGGGUUGCAGACCCCUGGUCUAGGAUAAGCCAGAUGGUCACAGGACUGAGGCUGUUGCAUAAUGCUGCCUGCUACCUCGGACAAUACACAUCCGCGUUUGCCUUAGGGCUAGCACUUCUAAGGCAAGCUUGCUUUUCCAAAGUGAGCUGAAAAUGGAGUUAAAAUAGUGGUCCUGUUGUUGUUUAGUCAUUUAGUCAUGUCCGACUCUUCGUGACCCCAUGGACCAGAGCACGCCAGGCACUCCUGUCUUCCACUGCCUCCCACAGUUUGGUCAAACUCAUGUUAGUAGCUUCGAGAACACUGUCCCACCAUCUCGUCCUCCACUGUCCCCUUCUCCUUGUGCCCUCCAUCUUUCCCAACAUCAGGGUCUUUUCCAGGGAGUCUUCUCUUCUCCUGAGGUGGCCAAAGUCUUGGAGCCUCAGCUUCAGGAUCUGUCCUUCCAGUGAGCACUCAGGGCUGAUUUCCUUCAGAAUGGAGAGGUCUGAUCUUCUUGCAGUCCAUGGGAUUCUCAAUAGUGGUCCUACACAGUGCUAUUUUGCUAGAAAAUAGCAAACUCGCCAUGGGAAAAAAAAUUGAAAAAAGGUAUAGGGCCUCUGGACGAUUAAGUCCAGUCAACGGCGACUAUGGGGUUGCGGCGCUCAUCUCGCUUUCAGGCCGAGGGAGCUGGCGUUUGUCCACAGACAGCUUUCCUGGUCGUGUGGCCAGCAGGACUAAACCGCUACUGGCACAUGGAGGACCAUGACAGAAACCAGAGUGCAUGGAAACGCUGUUUACCUUCCCACUAGAGUGGUGCCUAUUUAUCUACUUGCACUGGCGUGCUUUCGAACUGCUAGGUUGGCAGGAGCAGGGACCGAGCAACGGUAGCUCACCCUGUCACAGGGAUUCGAACCACCGACCUUCCAAUCAGCAAGCCCAACAGGCUCAGUGGUUUAGACCACAGCACCAUCCCCAAACUCGCCAUGAGUGUCUGCCAGAGUGCUUUAGCAGUGGUUUGGACCUAUAAAGCCUUAAAUGGGUCAGGACCGCAAUACCUCAAGGAUCACCUCUUUCCAUAUGAGCCUAGCUGGACCCUGAGGUCAUCAUCUGAGGCCCUUCUUUGUGUGCCUCCUCCUCAAGAGGUCCGGAGGGUGGCAACACGAAAACAGGGCCUUUUCUGAAGUGCCUCCCUGUUUGUGGGACACUCUCCCCAGGGCAGUUUGCCUGACACCUUCAUUAUACACCAGGCAAAAAUGAUCCUUUUAAACCAGGCAUUUGGUUGAUCUGUUUGACAUCCAAUACCCUUUUAAAAUGCAGCUCUUUUCAGGGUGGGUGGGCUAUGCUGGUCUAUAACCUUAAUAAAGUUUUGUAUUAUUGCAUUGUACUGGAGAGGGAGUUAUUGGGUUGUUGUCCUUAAUGCUGAUUAUAUAUGUUGUGAUGUCUCUGCUUUUUAAGAUCUUGUCAACAAAGGUCUGUAUAGUUAAAGCUAUAGUUUUCCCAGUAGUGAUGUACGGAAGUGAGAGCUGGACCAUAAAGAAAGCUGAUCGCCGAAGAAUGGAUGCUUUUGAAUUCUGGUGCUGGAGAGUCCCAUGGACUGCAAGAAGAUCAAACCUCUUCAUUCUGAAGGAAAUCAGCCCUGAGUGCUCACUGGAAGGACAGAUCCUGAAGCUGAGGCUCCAAGACUUUGGCCACCUCAGGAGAAGAGAAGACUCCCUGGAAAAGACCCUGAUGUUGGGAAAGAUGGAGGGCACAAGGAGAAGGGGACGACAGAGGACGAGAUGGUUGGACAGUGUUCUUGAAGCUACCAGCAUGAGUUUGACCAAACUGCGGGAGGCAGUGGAAGACAGGAGUGCCUGGCGUGCUCUGGUCCAUGGGGUCACCAAGAGUCGGACACGACUAAACGACUAACCAACAACAUAUAUGUUGUGAUCUUUUCACUGAACCGCCCUGAGACCUCCGGGUAUAGGGUGGUAUAUAAACUCAAGUAAUAAUAAUAUUAUUAAUAAUAAUGCACUUUAACUCCAGAAACUGAAAUCUCAGGUUUGAGCUGGAAUUCCCCUUCAAAACACUGCCCGUCUGGAGGUGACCUAAGACCAGACUUGGCUCUGAAGGAGGAUCAUUCCCUCUUUCCGGCCAAACUGUUAUGUAAGGCACUCUUCCAGGACAUAAAACCCAAACCGCCCUCGAAAGUUUGGGAUUCCCAGCGCUAAAUCUGCCACCUUUUUAUAGCAGUUCUGGGUUUGCGUGCCUUUGUGUUAACAAGACAAUCCAACUCCACUCUAAAUAUUUAGAAGUCAAGCUUGCUGAAGCCAGGGCUCCUUUGCCCGAUCUGAACUCGGGAUUCUACCUCUUUCCCUGUCACCACCCGGCCAAGGAAGGAUUACCGGUGGACAUCUUGUUUUGCUCCUGACAGAACGCAAGAGCCAAGGGAAAGGACCAUAUAGAUGUCAUCGCUUUCAAAUUCCCCAACUCCAGCCAAGAUUUCCCUUUAGAAACAACCUGCUCCUUGUGAGAAGCAAAACCACAUCUCUCUUUCCGUCACCACAGUAGAUUGCCGGCGGCGGUGGCUGCAAAUGCUCAGAAGAGGGUUGCGAAAGGCCAUAAUAGGGGCUGUUUGGUUCUUAAAUCGUGUGUACUGUUUUUUAAAAAAAUAGCCAGGAUUUCUAGGGAUUUGCAAAGCAUGGUUGGUUGUCAAUUAUAGCAGAAGGUUGCGUGAGGUUGGACUCAGCGGAAGGUAUCAUGGGCUGGUUGAUGCAGAAAAAUGGCGGCAGGAACAAGCUGGGGAAACAUCAGAAAGUAAGGCUCAGAGACCGGGGAGUGAUGGUGGGACAACAAUGGGUGGUCAGAUGGAGAAGAGGGAGAUGACUGGGAAGAGGUGUCGGAAGCUGAGGAGGUUACAGGGCUUAAUGAGCCGGGAGAUUCUGUGGCAGAGAGCAGUUCAGACUCAGCAGUAGAAGCAGAAGGGGGUCAAGAGGCAGCAAUGAGGCAGGCUGGUGAAGAAGCCAGGGUGUUUCAAUAAUAAUAAUAAUAAUAAUAAUUUAUUAUUUGUACCCCACCCAUCUGGCUGGCUCUCCCCAGCCACUCUGGGCGGCUUCCAACAAAGAUUAAAAAUACAUUAAAAUGUCACACAUUAAAAACCUCCCUGGGCUGCCUUCUGAUGUCUUCUAAAUGUCAGGUAGUUGUAUAUUUCUUUGACAUCUGACGGGAGGGCAUUCCACAGGGCGGGCGCCACUACCGAGAAGGCCCUCUGUCUGGUUCCCUGCAACCUUACUUCUCGCAGUGAGAGAACCGCCAGAAGGCCCUCGGAGCUGGACCUCAGUGUCUGGGCUGAACGAUGGGGGUGGAGACGCUCCUUUGGAUAUACUGGGCCGUAUAUUAAUGUAUUUUUAAUCUUCGUUGGAAGCCGCCUAGAGUGGCUGGAGAAACCCAGUCAGAUGGGCGGGUACAAAUCAUAAAUGAUGAUGAUGAUGAUGUAUAGUAAAAGGGGUUCAAAGCUGUGUGUGUGUGUGUGUGUGUGAGAGAGAGAGAGAGAGAGAGAGACAGAGACAGAGACAGAGACAGAGACAGAGACAGACAGAGACAGAGACAGAGACAGACAGACAGACAGACAGACAGACAGACAGACAGACAAUUUGCAAACAGCCUUGAUUCCUGGUCCAGGAAAAAGGUUUCAUUGGCAUCUGUCUAUCUCGAGAGAGAGUGCACCUCCAGGGCAUGAAGUCAAACCACUGGAAAAUCACAGCGCCUGCUGUGGCUGCAGAAUCAUAACCGCUGCCUCCCACGUUGUUUUUGCUGCCCUAGCAGCACCCAAGUGACACACCCACCCCACCCCACCCGCCGGCAGUGUGUCUGGAGGUCCUGGGCUGCCCAGAUGACUAGACCCCCAUCUCUUCCCGGCCUCAUGGGCAAAAAGAAAGCAGAUGUUUGGCACCAGCUUGGCUGCAGCAGUUGGCAGAAGAAGAAAUACAAGUCUCUAUCCAACCGUCUUGGGGACUCUGCUCCAGAUUUGUGUAGGGUUUACUCCUGAGCCAUUUAGGUGGGAAACAAAUAAGUACAGCGACAACAUAGUGCGAGUUUGCUUUUUAACGCACAGCAGAAGCCCGAAGCAGCUGUGCUACAGCCAGGGGGUGCAAAGCGAGGCCGGUGAGAGGUUUGUGGGCUGCAAAUAAAUCAAAGGGCCACAUAAGCAGGCCUCGAGGGCCACAUUUGUGUUUUUUUUAAAUGAUAUUUAUUGAAAAUUUUUAGAAUUACAAAAGAGAACAAAGCAGAAAAAGAGAAAGAAAAAACAAAGAAAAAACAAACCACAUCAAACAAUACAAAUUCAAAAAACAAAAAUACACCACAAACACUCAAAAACAAAUCCAUCAUUCUCAAAUCCUCAACUGUCAUUACCUUCUUUCUUUGACCUCCUCCUCCUCCCUUUUUUUGUAUCCUAGUUGUUAAUUGUCGCAGCAAAUCCUUUCCAUAUUUCAUAAUAUUCUGUCAUUACAUUACCUUAAUCUCUUUUAAUCUUAUCUUACUAUAAAGAACCUUAAAGCUUAAAGCUUAAAUCUUAUUUUUACCAACUUCUCAUAACCAUAAUAUUCUUACAUAAUUCUUUAAACAUUUUUGCUAAAGCCAAGUAAUUUCGUUCCAACGUUUUUCUAACAUUCAUCAAUUUUAUAAAACAAUCUUAGUAGUAAAAAAAAAGAAAUAAAAACAAUCCAAUCUUCAUCCAGCGUCCCUUCCUCCUGGUCCUGGGUUUUGUCAGUCCUUAUUAUCCCAUCGAUCUAGCGCAUUAACCUGGUAACCUUGUAUCCGAGGCUCUUAAGUCUCUUCCAUGUCCCUUCCGCAGCUCUUCUUCAAAUUUAUAACUGUAUUUUCCUUUGUCUCCUGCUCCUUUCACUCGUGGGAACUCCAGCUUAACAAUGUUUUUGACCCUUCUCGACAAAUCAGCCCCUUUUCCAUAGUCCACACUAAACUCCAUGUGGUAUUUAAGAACAUGUUUCAAAAUCCCUCCAAAAUUAAGAGCUCCCACAACCCCAAACAUCUCACGGCCCAUUGCCAGACUUGAAAGGUCCAAACAUCCCUGCAUAGGGGGUCUAUCCAACCCCCCAUUUCCAAACCAAACUUUAUCUUUCCAAAUCUGGCUUUUCCAAGUUCAUUUGUCAAGUCCAAAAGCUCAUGUUCCUGCUGGGCCACAGCUCCCUUCAUCUCUGGCGCCCAAGAUUCAGCAACAUCCUCUUCCCUCAUCUGUUCUGUCAGGGCACACUCCUGAUUUGAUUCCUGGGUGGGCUCCCGGGACUUCCGGGGUGGUGCCAUCGGCAAUGGCGGACUCCCUCUGAUCUGGAGGGACUAGCUCCACGCGAAACGGGUCUUUUCCGCUACGGCGAAGCGGGGACCCUUUCAAAAAUCACAGGCGGAUGAAGCCUGUGACCAUGGGACUCAGCGGGCACCUUUAGCGCCCCCCCAACCCGCAAAAGAACCCACUAAUGGGCUCCGGAGCGAAGAGGGGGAAGUGGUGCUGAGAGUCAACUGCUUCUUCCGUGGAGCGAAGCCGCACAGCCGUUGCUGGAGAGCGCUGCCUUUUUCCUGGGACAAUUUGGCUUCUAAAAUAAUCACCCGUGAGUACUUAAAUUUCGGACAAUUGGACUUUAAAUAAGGACUUUCGAGCAGAAAGGAAAAUUAGACUUAAAAGUUUACUUCAAUUUGGCACUGAAACGGGAAGGUCUAAAAAGGAAGUCAGCCUUCCGUUUCUUUGUAGAUAGAUUAAAGCAAAGACAUGGCAAACUAGAGCUCAGAAAAUCGCUUGUAAAAGAUUAACUUUCAUCAUUUAAAAUUGUUGAACCCCCCUUCGGAAGCAGGAGAAGAGGGGGGAUUUUUUCGGACUGUUUAAACCUGCAGAAGUGAGUGUAAAGUAAAGUAACUUUCCACCGUCCUGAUCCUGGAGCGGGGUGUCAGGACUGACAUUUUUUGAAGCUCAUUGACCAGAGACAAACGUUUUUGACAGAUAGCUAUAAGAAGAGAAACAUUGAUUCCAUUGUUCCCCUUCGCAUUAUAAAGGAACAAAUAUUGACAAAAUAUCUGAAAAAGGAAACUUUGUUGUUAGACUUGUCUUUAAAAGAAAGAACAAAUAGAAGUUUUCCCCCUAGAGGGAGACUGUGAAACUGUAACCAACUCCGGGGAACUUGCAGCUGUUACAGAUUACAUUCGUGGGAAUAGACUUCUGACCUUGCAGGACAAUGUAUUCAGAAGCUCUGUUGCGUGCUUUCUGUAAAACAAAUGCCCUACUGGAACAGCUACAAGAGAAGACGGACUUGAUGACUGCUGUGAUCAGAAAUUUUGAACAGGCAGUGGGAAAUUAUAUGGAGCCCACUCGAGGGCCACAUUUGACCUCUGGGCCCAAGGUUCCUGAAAAAUACUUAGAGUCGAGAGUGGAAUUCAUGCUCUUUAUUCAGCUCAUAGUGGUGAGGAGGAAUGAAAGUUUCCCCAAAGUAUCUGCUUUAUAUACAUUAUUUACACAAUGGGCUGCACAUGAUUGGCUAAUUCUGGGAUUCUCCUGUAGGCCAAUCAGGUUGUGGAUUCACUUCCAUCUGGCGCUGGAUUGGGUGGCUCCUGCGGACGAAUCAGACUGCUGCAUUGUUCUAGGACCAAUCAGACUGCUGCAUUCUGAAUCCUAUUGUUCUAGGACCAAUCAGACUGCUGCAUUCUGAAUCCUAUUGCUCUAGGACCAAUCAGACUGCUGCAUUUUGGAUCCUAUUGUUCUAGGACCAAUCAGACUGCUGCAUUUUGGAUCCUAUUCAACUCAGUACAUAACAGUUCCCCACCACGAGUUGUGUAAAUGCAACAAAUGAAUGUAAAGCCAGGCCCACAAGGCUGCAGGUCUCUGUCACCAGGAGAGAUCUGCUUCCCCGACUCUUCCUGAGCGGAAAAAUAAACCCCAUGUUUCCUUCUUGAAGAGGUGAGUGUGCACUAAAAACCUGGAAGGCCCCUCCUGAACAAAACACUCCUAGGUUGAGGUUUUAUCUUGGCAACCCCACCAAGGCAACUCCUUGUUCCACAUGAGAUUAGCUCCCUGGCUGGAUGCCAGGGGGAGAGGCAAGGCGAGGGUGGUGAUUCACGCCUGACUCAUCCAGAGGAGCCUGGAGAGUCGCAGCAGAGAGGGGGUCCGAGCCCAAGGAAGGUUGGCAAGGCGUCUUGCUGGUUGUUUUCUAAACAACCUCGCAAGCAAGGAUGGGCAAGUCAAUCCCUUACUGUUUUUCCUCCCUUUCUCAUUUUUCCACUCUUUUAACUUUUUUUUGCACUGGUUUGCAAACUUUUUUUUUACUUUUUAAAAGUCCUCAUUGGACAAUUCACCAGCAUUUCACAGGAAAAGAGAUUAUGGCUAAACAGUGGAACUGUCUCUCCAACUCGAUGACUCUAUUAUUUUAGGACAUAUUUUCUUCCAAUAUUCUUGUAUGCAAUCUUGCCUAACGUACGCCGUUUUGCAAAGCGAUUUCCCCUAACUUAAUACAUUUUAAUACACCGUUUUCACCAAUACAUGCAUUUUGACACGUACUUUAUCCCAGGGGUCAGCAAACAUUUUCAGCAGGGGGCCGGUCCACUGUCUCUCAGACCUUGUGGGGGGUCGGACUAUAUUUUUUUUUGGGGGGGGGGGGAAAUGAACAAAUUCCUAUUGCCCACAAAUAACCCAGAUGCAUUUUAAAGAAAAGGACACAUUCCACUCAUGUAAAAUCACGCUGAUUCCCAGACCGUCCGGGGGCCGGAUUGAGAAAGCGAUUGGGCCGGAUCCGGCCACUGGGCCUUAGUUUGCCUACCCAUGCUUUAUCCCAAUACAGUGGUACCUCGGGUUAAGAACUUAAUUCGUUCUGGAGGUCCAGUCUUAAACUGAAACUGUUCUUAACCUGAAGCACCUGCUGCCGCCGCGCCACUGGUGCACGAUUUCUGUUCUCAUCCUGAAGCAAAGUUCUUAACCCGAGGUACUAUUUCUGGGUUAGCGGAAUGUAAUAAAUAUAGGGGUUGCUCGUGCUUAAGUUGCCGCCAUUCCUGGCUAGGUUGCCUUGUUAAACCUUUUCUGUCUGGACAGCCCUUCACUUCGUGGCUGUUUCAGUCACUAGCAGAAUCCGUCAGUGGGCGUUUCUUAAACCUUUUCCAGCAUAAAAGCUGUUUGACGCCAAGUCUCCUCCUACUCUCCCUGCGCGGAAGUCUUCUGCGCAGGGAGGGUGGGGGUAGCGGAGGACCCGUGCUCUCCCCGCUGGUCUCCGGCGAGGAGUCCUGGAGCCCCCUCGCCGAUUCCCCCAUCUCCCUGGUGUUACGCUGAUUUCCUUCCCCAGCUGACGAGCUGCCUCUCUCCCUGCUGGGCCCUUCUCCAGCAUCGCUUGGGAGCCUUGCCUCCGUCUCUGGCUCCGAUGUCAGUUCCUUGACACGGAAUCUGUAACCUGAAGUGCCUGUAACUUGAAGUGUCUGUAACCUGAGGUACCACUGUAUAUGACUUUUGGGCCACAUUGCUUAGCUGAAGAAAUGCAUUGCAAAAUUCAGAGAAGUGUGUUUUGAAGGAUUCCGGUUUGUGUAAUGUUUUGGAAAUGGCGAGCUCAGUUGGUUAGAGUGUGGUGCUGAGAACGCCAAGGUUGCAGGCUUGAUCCCCAUAUGGGACAGCUGCAGAUUCCUACAUUGCAGGGGCUUGGACUAGAUGAUCCUUAGAAUCCUUUCCAACUCUACACUUCUAUUAUUUUCUCCGCUUGAGAGUAAACAGCCAAGGAAAACAAGUGCCAGAUCUAACUGCAUAUUUCAUCUUUUUUACAGUGGAUCGUGAAUGCAUUGCCGAAAGCCUCGUGUUGACUCACCUUUUCGUUUUUACAACAACCCUGUGAUGUAGGCUAGGCUUAUGCUCCACAGAGGACCUUAAGGUCCAUGAAUAACCAUAGUUUAGAGGUCCCGGGCCCUAAGGAAGUCAGACUAUCCUCCGCCAGGGCCAGGGCCUUCUCAGUGAUGGCUCCGAACUGGUGGAAUGCUCUGUCCCAUGAGACUAGGGCCCUUCAAGAUUUAAGCUCCUUUUGCUAGGUCUGUAAGACAGAGCUACUUCACCUGGCCUUUAAUUUGAAUUCAACCUGAUCUUUUAUUUCCCUUCUCUUCCCUCCCCCUCCCCUUUUAUGAGACCCCACAGCUAAUUCUCCCCUGAUCUCCUCGCUGGCCCAAAUAGGACCAAUUCAGCCAGCUAGCCCUGGGGAUUAUUUAAUGCUUAUUUCCCCUAAAUUGAUUUUUGAUUUUUGAAUUUUAUUGUUAUUAAUGUUUUUAUACUGUAUUUUAUGCUGCUUUUAUAAUUAAGUGUUUUAAAUCUGUUGUUAGCCGCCCUGAGCCCAGUUUUUGAACCGGGAAGGGCGGGGUUUAAAUAAAAAUUUAUUAUUAAUUUAUUAUUAGGCUUAGAGGCAGUGACUGCCCCCCCCCCCGAUCGCCCAGUGAGCUCCGUGACGGAGUUGGGGGUAGGAUUCAAACCCAUGUCUCCCAGCUCUUUGACCAGAACUCUAACCACUACACCACCACUGCCUGUUGGUACGACACCUCCGACCAUCCCUGGCCAUUGGCCAACGAAGCAGGGGCUGAAAGGAUUUGGAGUCCGAACAUCUGGUGGGAAACAGCCCCCCCCCCCAGCCCCAUAUAGACUUACUUAUCUGAGUGGAAGUGUGGGGUGUACCUGCAGCUUUGAUCUGGAUUUGGGAGGAAGCAACCUGUGCCCCAGGGAAAAAGCAAUUGAGCACGCAAUGGUUUGGGUAAGGUUUGAGGUUUGGGUAACUCGGUGGCAGCUGUACACGAGAAUUUGGACGGACUGGGUGGGAGAGCAGCUUGGAGCCGCUCUUGCUAAGCCGAUACUUGUCUGCCUCCUGGCGGCCGAAAUAUGAGCUGCCUCCUAGUUUCAAACUCGAGGAACAAAGGCGAGCAACUCUCCUUACCUAACGGAUUCAGGAAAGGCACACGAUUCUUCAUUCGGUGAGGGCUGGGCGGGGGAAUGGCCUGUGGAACUCCUUGCCACAGAGUGCCACGAUGAUGGAAGGGAGUGGGAAGGUGUUUGUGGGCUUCCCCCAGGCAUUUGGUUGGCCACUGUGAAAAGGGGAUGCUAGCCUAGAAGGGUUACUGGCCUUAUCCAGCAGGCACACACAUAUAUAUUCUUUAUUGGAAAAUAAUAAAUAAAUAAAUACCCGGUAUAAAAUUAUGAGUGCACAAGGUAAAACAAGGCAUGAAAAGGAUCACAAUACAGUGGUACCUGAAACUGUUCUUAACCUGAAGCACCACUUUAGCUAAUGGGGGCCUCCUGCUGCCGCCGCACUGCCAGAGCACGAUUUCUGUUCUUAUCCUGAUGCAAAGUUCUUAACCCGAGGUACUAUUUCUGGGUUAGCGGAGUCUGUAACCUGAAGCGUAUGUAACCCGAGGUACCACUGUAGUUAAGAUACACCUGUGUAAAAAAGGACAACAGAAAGAAAAACAACUGACAAGGUUGUUACAGUGGUACCUCGGAUUAAGAACUUAAUUCGUUCUGGAGGUCCGUUCUUAACCUGAAGCACCACUUUAGCUAAUGGGGCCUCCUGCUGCCGCCGUGCAAUUUCUGUUCUCAUCCUGAAGCAAAGUUCUUAACCCGAGGUACUACUUCCGGGUUAGUGGAGUCUGUAACCUGAAGCGUCUGUAACCUGAAGCGUCUGUAACCCGAGGUACCACUGUAUUGUACGUAUCCUAAACUUAACCUAAUGCAGUGUUUCUAAUAAUUAUUUCCAAAUACUGCAAAAUUUGUCCACGGCAAGUCUACAUUUAUACACAACAGGCUUCCUUACGGUAUAAUAAUAAUAAUAAUAAUAAUAAUAAUAAUAAUAAUAAUAAUUUGUGACUUAUACCCUGCCCAUCUGGCCGGGUUUCCCCAGCUGCUCUGGGUGGCUCCCAGCAAAAUAUUAAAAACACGGUAAAACAUCAAACAUUAAAAACUUCCCUAAACAGGGCUGCCUUCAGAUGUCUUCUAAAAGUCAGGUACAGUCAUACCUCGGGUUACAGACACUUCAGGUUGCGUUUUUUCGGAUUAUGGCCCCACCGAAACCCGGAAGUACCGGAACACGCAUGUGCAGGAGUGCUAAAUCAUGCUUUGUGCAUGCGCAGAAGCGCCGAAUCGGAACCCACGCAUGCACAGAUGCUGCGCUGUGGGUUGUGAAUGCUGCGGGUUACGAACGUGCCUCCUGCAUGGAUCACGUUCGCAACCCGAGCGUCCACUGUCAUUGUUUAUUUCCUUGACAUCUGGUGGGAGGGAGUUCCACAGGGCCUUAUGAUCUGGAGGUUUCUCACUUUCCUCCAGAUUCCGCAGAUUUCCUUUUUUAAAACAACAACAACACCACACAACUCACUUGUCCCUGCUUGCAAGUUGCCUCCUUGAUUUUUUUCCACGCAGUGACAACCAGACUGCCAGCGCAACCUCUGUGGCCUCUCUGCUCCAUGAAAUACACAUGUGGUGAAACCUGUUUGACGGAGAGUGUUCAGCCCGAGGCUAGGAAACUGCUGAGAUGGCUCCAUCAGCUGGAGACAUUCUGUAUUAUGGCUUGAUGCAGACAGAUAAGGCGGAGGCACGGGCUGCACAUCUGCAUUCUGGAGAAAGAAGCUAUAGAAAAGUUUUAAGUGCCAAAAGCUUGCGCCUUUCCCCCUCCUUCCCAAGGAAACAAAAUUAAUUUUGGAAAAAGCAUAGUUCGCAACCCAGGGUACUCCCAGGUGGCAUGUCAUUCAAACUUUGUCCUGAUUCAUUUGCAGGGAGAUAUGGGGACAUUGCCGCGAGAUAUGGGGACAUUGGGACGCGGGUGGCGCUGUGGGUUAAACCACAGAGCCUAGGGUUUGCCAAUCAGAAGGUUGGCGGUUCGAAUCCCCGUGAUGAGGUGAGCUCCCGUUGCUCGGUCCCUGCUCCUGCCAACCUAGCAGUUCGAAAGCACGUCAAAGUACAAGUAGAUAAAUAGGUACCGCUCUGGUGGGAAGGGAAACGGCGUUUCCGUGCGCUGCUCUGGUUUGCCAGAAGCGGCUUAGUCAUGCUGGCCACGUGACCCGGAAGCUGUACACCGGCUCCCUCACCCAGUAAAGCGAGAUGAGCGCCGCAACCCCAGAGUCGUCCGCGACUGGACCUAAUGGUCAGGGGUCCCUUUACCGUUAUGGGGACAUUGGCACUCUAUACCUCCAAAGCGCAUUCAAAGGACGUUGCUUCUCUCAAAGAAUUCUGGGUACAAGCAACUCCCCAUUUAUGUGGGGGUUAUGUCCAGGGGCACCACACAUUUACGAGAAAUCACACGUCUUUAAAGCACCACUGGAAAGCUGGCAAACAUCCUCUAAAAUGCUUGAAAACCCUUUUAAAAACCAGCGGCAUUUGCUAGGAGUCAAACUCCACCACCGUCACUCCCUCCAAAUUUCUUUGCUCAAACACCACAGGCCUCAAUGUUCAGUGCAAGGCACUGUUUUCGUGAUUUUUCACCCUUUCUGUGCUGUUUUAGGAUGGUUUUUGACAUUUUUAAUGCAUGUGCGCUCGCAGUUGCACAUCAGUUGGAUGCACGAGAAUUGGUUGCUGCCUGUACCGCUCACUAGGGUUGCCAUAUUUUUGGCAAGGUUGUUGAGCUUUUUUCAGUUUUGCCCAGAGUUGUUGAGCUUUCUUUUUUUUGAGCUCUUUUUAAGGAAAUUCACCAAAAUCUGCACAUCCAACACGGGUCGCCGUAAGUCCGCAUACUGAAGUGAUUUCAACCUGGACACAUUCCGACGGCCGAAUCCUGGAAACGUCUGGAAAACUCUGGACAGCCGCUCACAGAGUUACAACGCCCAGAAACCCUGAACUCACAACAUGAGCAAAACCCUUUAUGGGUAAUGAAAAUGCUUUGAAGGUGCUUUGAGGGUACCAUACCCUCAAGGUGUCCUGAUUUUCCAAGGACAAAGUUCAGAAUUAUGCAAUCCUUCCCAGCUUCUGAUUUGAUCCCAGAAUGUCCCCAUUUCCCCUGCCAGUACUCUUGGAAUUAAGGGGUUUUCUGAGGACGGUGGAAAGUUUGUGUCCCGUGUCCUGUUGGUAUUGUGGUGGUGGAAAUGUUCUGCGGCAGGUUUUGUUGGGGAUAACUCAGACUGAAAUUCCCAGGUGUCAAAAAACGUUAUUUAUGAAUUUGCAUUUAGGCAAAUCUACUGAAUUCACUAUGUUUCUAAAGCACUAUGGCAGUGAUGGUAUAGCUGUCAAGCACAUUAUUUGUAUGCAAACCCAGGGAACAUUUUAGGUCUUUCAAAGACCAUUUGUGGGCUCAUGUACCCCUCUAUUCUGCCUUGGUUAGACCGCACCUGGUGUCCUGUGUUCAGUUCUAGACGCCACAAUUUAAGAAGGAUGUUGACAAGCUGGAACGGGUGCAGAGGAGGGCGACAAAGAUGACAAAGGGUUUGGAAACCAAGCCUGAUGAGGAAUGGUUGAAGGAGCUGGGCAUGAUUAGCCUGGAAAAGAUGAGACUGAGAGGAGAUAUGAGAGCUGUCACAUGGAGGAUGGAGCAAGCUUGUUUUCUCCUGCUCCGAAAGGUAAGAACCGAACCCGUGGUUUCAAGUUACAAGAAAUGGGAACAUUCUUUCACAUGUGGUGGACCUGUAAAAGGGUAAAAAAGUAUUGGGAAAUAAUCCAUAAUGAAUUGAAAAAAAAAUGUUUAAAAGUACUUGCUUAAAAAAACAGAGUCCUUUUCGUUGGGGAUAAUUCAGACGGAAAUUCCCAGGUGUUAAAAAAGGUUAUUUAUGUAUGCCACUACUGCGGCCCGUGUUUUGUUAGCUCCCCAAACGGAAAAUGAGCGAGAUCUCAACCAAAGAAGAAUGGCAACUUAAGCUGACAGAAUAUGCCCAGCUUGCUGACUUAACAUAUAGAAUAAGAGAACAUGAACAUGCUUUUAGAGAAGAUUGGAAAACGUUUAUUGAAUAUAUGGGGGGAAAUUGUGCACACCUGAAAACGUUGGCAGCAUCGAGAUAAAUUCAACAGGUUUUGACGAAUGCAAUAAUGGAAUACAGUGGGCGCUCGGGUUGCGAACAUGAUCCAUGCGGGAUGCACGUUCGCAACCUGCAGUGUUUGCAACCCGCGUCUGCGCACGCACAGGUUGCGACUCGGCGCUUCUGCACAUGCGCAAAGUGCGAUUUAGCGCUUCUGUGCACGCGUGACCUCCGAAACCCGGAAGUAACCCGUCCUGGUACUUCCGGGUUUUGGCAGUCCGUAACCCGAAAAAACACAACCUGAAGCGGCUGUAACCUGAGGUAUGACUGUACUGAAUGGUUUAGUUUUUGUAAAAUAUGCAGGGAUAUGUGAUAUGCAAAAUGAACCGUGGAAAGAGAAGAAGGGAAGUCACUGAUAUUUUAAGGAUGUUUGUUAAAAUGAGUAUUUUAAAUUGCAAAACAUAAAAUUUAAUAAAAAUUAUAUAUAUAAAAAGAAAAAUAAAUGCUCUGUGGCAGGGUGUGUGUGUGUGCGUGCGUGUGCAUUUGUAUCUCUCGACGCAAGGUCCCUUUCCUUUAAACCCUAGAUCUUGCACUUCUACUCUUUCACCCGAGCCAGUAUGCAAGCUUUAAACGCAAGCUGUUUCAGGGUGAUUGCUGAGGGAGAGUGCGGCAGCCUGUUCAUAGCUCCUGAAUUUUCUUAAAUGCUAACACAUGACGUGGGGCCCCAUCCAGGAGACUUAAGAACUCUCCGCCCCUACAUGAAGAUAAAAAAUAUAUGUAUUUGGCACGCAAACAGCUCCUUUACUGUAAGGCCUAGCAAAGGGGCUUGGUUACGGCAAGGGAAAAAUGUCGAGCCGCACCUCUCUGGGGCUUGGCUCUCUUGUCCCGACAGCGUCCAAGCUAAACAAAGAGUUUAGCUCACAGAUGAAACUGGUUAAGGGGAAAUUGGGGAGGGGGGCUUGCAGCCUGCCUGCAGGAAGAGGCCAAUCUAUGGGGCAAGGUGAACAACGUGGAAACAAUGAAGCAAGUUCCCCGAAACAGGCAGGUCUGUGGGAAACUGGCAAGCGCACCCCACAAAUGUGUCCCCCCCCCAAAAAAGGACGUCCCGUUUUUUAUCGCAAGAGAAUGGCCGCCAUUUUGGUUGCCAGCAUCUCGCAAGAUUUCGUGGCACGAUUUCCCCUCGGGAAAAAGUGCAUUUCUGUGGCAGAGGUCUUGCUUUGGGGAACUGCGCCUGGAAAAUGUGGCGGGGGGGGUGUUGGGGCGGGGGAGGAAGGAAACCACGGAGUGAGAUCACGGCAAACCCAAAUGGCCGGCGUGCUCUCAUGAGAAAGAACAGGAACACGGCGUCCGGGAAGAUGGCGUCCCGAAUUUUGACUGCAGGGUCAAACUCUCUGUUAUGUACUGAGUUGAAUAGGAUACAAAAUGCAGCAGUCUGAUUGGUCCCAGAACAAUAGGAUUCAGAAUGCAGCUGUCUGAUUGGUCCUAGAACAAUGCAGCAGUAUGAUUGGUCCGCAGGAGCCACCCAAUCCAGCUCCAGAUGGAAGUGAAUCCACAACCUGAUUGGCCUACAGGAGAAUUCUGGAAUUAGCCAAUCACGUGGGGCCCAUUGUGUAAAUAAUGUAUAUAAAGCAGAUACUUUGAGGGGACUUUCAUUCCUCCUCACCACUAUGAGCUGAAUAAAGAGCAUGAAAUCCACUCUCAACUCUGAGUAUAUUUCACUCUCUUAAAGUCAUCCAAGUUGGUGGCCAUCACAGGCUCCUGCAGAACAGAGUUCCAUAGAUGAACAGCGCUGCACAAAGAAUUAUUUUCUUCCAUCUGCCCUGAAUAUUGGAUCCCUUCCAGUCGGGAUUCAGGCCUCAUCAUGGGACUGAAACUGCCUUGGUUGUGCUGAUCGAUGAUCUCCCGCGGGCUAGGGACAAAGGUGAGAGCUGUUUCCUAGUUCUGCUGGAUCACUCAGCGGCUUUUGACAUCAUCGACCAUAACAUCCUUCUGGACCGCCUAGUGGGGCUGGGAGCUGGGGGCACUGUCAUACAGUGGUUCCGCUCCUUCCUCCUGGGCCAUCUCCAGAAAGUGGUGGUAGGGGAUGAGUGUUCAGACCCCUGGGCUCUCACUUUUGGGGUGCCUCAGGGCUCCAUCCUCUCCCCCAUUCUUUUUAACAUCUACAUGCAGCCUCUGGGAGAGAUCAUCAGGGGGUUUGGUUGGGUGUUCAUCAAUAUGCGGAUGAUACCCAGCUCUACCUCUCUUUCAGAUCAGAACCAGUGAAGGCGGUGAAGGUCCUUUGUGAGUGUCUGGAGGCGGUUGGAGGAUGGAUGGCGGCCAACAGAUUGAGGUUGAAUCCUGACAAGACAAAAGUACUGUUCUUGGGGGACAGGAGGUGGACAGGUGUGGAGGAUUCCCUGGUCCUGAAUGGGGUAACUGUGCCCCUGAAGGACCAGGUGCGCUGCCUGGGAGUCAUUUUGGACUCACAGCUGUCCAUGGAGGCACAGGUCAAUUCUGUGUCCAGGGCAGCUGUGUACCAGCUCCAUCUGGUAUGCAGGAUGAGACCCUACCUGCCCGCAGACUGUUUCGCCAGAGUGGUGCAUGCUCUGGUUAUCUCCCGCUUGGACUACUGCAAUGCCUACUGACUCUGAUAUUAGAGGAGGUGCAUGCAUAGAUAGCCAGUGUUGUUCAACUUCCCUAUGAAGAGGGAUUGACUGUUCACUUGAAGAAUUCAAGUUCAAGUUCAAGUUUAUUGCGGCCAAAGCCAGUGACACUAAACACCAUAAGAUCAGACAACAAGAAAACAGCAACAACUUUAGAAAAGAAAAAAGGUUACACAAGAGAACUUCCCAGUGUGCCAUUCAACAGAAGAGAUUUACGCUUCUUAAUUACUAAAGUGCAAAAUUUAGCCACCUCAUAUGAUACUGAGCUUGAGGAAUCUUCCAGGAGGUAUUUUCGAAGAAUUUCAGGGGAGGAUUCCAAAUAAUAUUGAAGGGGUAUAAAUUUUGAUAGAAGUGGUAAAAUAAGUUGAACUCGUUCCUCACUAUAGAAUUCGCAAGAUAGAAGAAUGUGUGUGACAGAUUCUACCUUAUUAGACAUACAAGGGCAGAGACGCGCAUGCAUUGGAACUCGCGUGAAUUUGCCGUACAGCACUGCUGAGGGCAUUGUCUCAAAGCGGGCUCUAGAGAAAGCCCAUCUAUAGGUUUCGUUAGUGAUGUUAGUUAAGUAAGGGGCAGCUGCAAAAUUAGGCCAAGCUUUUAAACAUCUAUACGUCUCUGGGAGUAGGGCGCCUUCUUGUUGUAAUUCGAUAUCAUGAAGUCUCCGAGUGAUAGUAGUUUUUGCCUUCACUUGAAGAAUUGUAACUCUGGGCCAGGGCCAGCCCAAGACAUUUUGCCACCUGAAGCAGACCCCAAAACGGCAUCUCCCUUCCCUGUCAGGGAAGAAAGGGUGAGGGAAGACCUAUGUCGCAGACAAGGGGAAAAGAAUGAUCAACAUCAUUAUCUGCUGCCCCAUGGAUCUUGCCGCCUGAGGCAGUUGCCUCAUCUUGCCUCAUGGGUGGGCCGGCCCUGCUCUGGACGAGGAAUCAACGUCUCCUAACAACUCUUAGCACCCUGAACAAACUACAGCUCCCAGGAUCCCUUGGGGGUGGGCAGCCAUGAGCAUUAAACUGGUCUUAAAAAGAUAAAGGGGCCCCUGACCAUUAGGUCCAGUCGUGGCCAAAUCUGGGGUUGCGGUGCUCAUCUCGCUUUACUGGCCAAGGGAGCCGGCGUACAGCCGGUCAUGUGGCCAGCAUGACUAAGCCGCUUCUGGCAAACCAGAGCAGCGCACGGAAACGCCAUUUACCUUCCCACCGGAGUGGUACCUAUUUGUCUACUUGCACUUGACGUGCUUUCGAACUGCUAGGUUGGCAGGAGCAGAGACUGAGCAACGGGAGCUCACCCCGUCGCGGGGAUUCAAACCGCCAACCUUCUGAUUGGCAAGUCCUAGGCUCUGUGGUUUAACCCACAGUGCCGCCCGCGUCCCUACUGGUCUUAACAGUGCUUUAAAUCCAAAGUACGGAAUUGUUCCAGGUCUCAGCAGUGCAGAAUAAAAUGGAACAAUUAUUCGUUACUUGGAAACUAUUAACGCAACUUAAAAUCCAGACAAGCUUUUAAUUUGCCGUUUUAGGGUGUUGUUGUUUUUUAAACACCUGGUUCCGAUAUUUUACCUGGUUUAUAAGUUACCGCAGCUGACUAUUUGUUCUGUAUGCUUUUGUGAUAUAUUGGUUUUAAACAAUCUAAGCCACCCAGCGGUGCUGGGAGGGUGGAGUGCACGUUUUCUAAAUUACUAAAGCAAUAAAUAAAGGGCAGGCUGUGAAGCUGUGUGCGUGAGUGUGUCUUCCUCUCUCGAGUUCCUGAAAUCCAGAGGUGGUGCGGAACAUUAAUGAGAAAACCAGAUCCCCCCAGACCAACAGGCGAUUAAGGCUUAGCUUGCCCCUCCUGUAAACAUUGCUGAGAAGUCUCUCUCCCCCACCCCCACCGUGUGUGUGUGUGUGUGUGUGUGUGUGUGUGUGUGUGUGUGUGUUUGUGGCAACUUCCUGUCUGGAAAAUCCCUGCAGCUGUUUCAGCUCAGCUUUCACUGUGAUUUCAUGUUACCACGAACAAUUUUUUUUUGCAUUGCUCCACAAGAGUGAUGCCCAUUUGAGCAGCCUGUCUCGGAGCAUCAACUUCCUCCUUCUUUGCCCACCUUUGUGAACAACAACAAAAUAAAAAUAAAAAUAAAAAUAAAAAUAAAAAUAAAAAUAAAAAUAAAAUUUAUUUAUACCCCACCCUCCUGGCCAGAGCCGGGCUCAGGGCGGCUAACACCAAUAAAAUUACAGUAAAAACAUAAUAGGAAAAAACUAAUUAAAUGCAGGUUAAAAUGCAAUUUUAAAAUGCAACCUCAUUUUAAAAAUAGCCCAUAAAUCUUCUUCUUCUUCUCGUCAUCAUCAUCAUCAUCAUCAAACUGCAAUGUUCAUUCACUGCAGCGUAUCUUCGACACCCCAACUUUGAUGAGCACUGAACACACAGGGGCUACCUUGAACUGAGCCAGACCUCUGGAUCCAACGAGCUUAGUACUGUCAACACAGGCUGGCAGCAGCCAGUGGCGUCAAGUCCGUGGACUAGGGGCUGGCGGCUCCUUCCCCAAAGCCCAUGAAGCUUCUGCUCGGAUUAGGGACGCAGGCACGAUGUUCUAGGGGUCCAAAAGACCUCCCGCAAUCUGCCCAAAGUCUGCCCAGCUUUGGAGAGGCAGCAGCAGGGCUCCAAAAUCUUGUAAAGGUAAAGGGACCCCUGACCAUUAGGUCCAGUUGUGGCCAACUCUGGGAUUGCGGCGCUCAUCUCGCUUUAUUGGCCCUAGGGAGACAGCGUACAACUUCCGGGUCAUGUGGCCAGCAUGACUAAGCCGCUUCUGGCCAACCAGAGCAGCGCAUGGAAACGCCGUUUACCUUCCCGCUGGAGUGGUACCUAUUCAUCUACUUGCACUGGCGUGCUUUCGAACUGCUUGGUGGGCAGGAGCAGGGACCGAGCAACGGGAGCUCAUCCCGUCGCGGGGAUUCGAACCGCCGACCUUCUGAUCGGCAAGUCCUAGGCUCUGUCGUUUAACCCACAGCGCCACCCGCGUCCCUCCAACAUCUUGUAAGAGGCUUCUGCCUCGCUUAGGGAGGGAGGGGCGAUGUUGCCAUGCGUGUUGCAACACCACACCACCCCCAUAUCGCCCUGGGAAGCUGCUGCCUCUGGCCCUAACUGUUCCCCUACAAAAAAAAUGCACUGCUCGCCACUGGCGGUAGCCAGUGAGAUGCCGUGAUUUGAACCCAAGGCCUUCUUCAUGCAGGUAGAUGUUCUGCCACCAAUCAAAAAUCCUGCUUUGAAUGUAUUUUGGAAGUGUGAGGAGAAGGAAGGCACUUUCCACCACAUGUGGUGGACGUGCGAGAGAACAAAAGCGUUCUGGGAAAUGAUUGAUAACGACUUGAAAAAAAGGUUUAAAAUAACGUUUGUGGAAAAACCAGAAGCCUUUUUACUAGGGAUUUUCGGUGCAGAGAUACCAAAGGAGCAGAAACGACUAUAUAUGUACGCGACGACAGCAGCGCGGAUACUACGGGCCCAGAGAUGGAAAGAAGAUUAAAGUCCCGACCAGAGAGGAAUGGCUGAUGAAGAUGAUGGAACUAUGCCGAAAUGGGGAAAAUGACCGGGAAAAUCGGAAACCAGGAAGAGAGAAACUUUAAUAAGGGAUGGGAGAAAUUUACAAAUUAUUUAGGAGAACACUGUAAACAACUAAAAGCUUUGGCAGGAUUUGAGUAACGCUUGUAAUGUACUACAGUGGUACCUCAGGUUAAGUACUUAAUUCGUUUCAGAGGUCCGUACUUAACCUGAAACUGUUCUUAACCUGAAGCACCACUUUAGCUAAUGGGGCCUCCUGCUGCUGCUGCACCGCCAGAGCACGAUUUCUGUUCUCAUCCUGAAGCAAAGUUCUUAACCUGAAGCACUAUUUCUGGGUUAGCGGAGUCUGUAACCUGAAGCGUCUGUAACCUGAAGCGUAUGUAACCUGAAGCGUAUAACUCGAGGUACCGCUGUAUAAGGUAAAAAUGGAUUACAGUCGACGCUCGGGUUGCGAACGUGAUCCGUGCGGGAGACACAUUCGCAACCCGCAGCGUCCGCAACCUGCAGCGGCGCGUCUGCCCAUGCACGGGUUGCGAUUCGGUGCUUCUGCACAUGCGCAAAGCACAAUUUAGCGGUUCUGCGCAUGUGUGACUGCCAAACCCCGGAAGUAACCUGUUCCGGUACUUCCAGGUUUCGGCGGUCCGCAACCCGAAAAAAUGCAACCUGAAGUGUCUGUAACCCGAGGUAUGACUGUAUUUUAAGGAAAAUGGAGAAAAUAUAUGAUGCAGUUGAAAAAGACUGAAAAUGGAAACCAUGGAAGGGUGGAAGUCUAAGGAUUCAGGGAACAUUUAGAUGUUGAUGAUUAUGUCUAACGUUUGAAUUUAAAUGUGUAGUGUAAAACUGAAUUAAAAAAAUAUUUUUAAAAAAGAAAUAAAUCCAUAUCUGUAUGGCAUUUUCCUGCUUGACCCUUCCCCUCUGGUUAUUUUUUUUGUUUUUGGAGAAGGAUUGCUUCCCUGUCUUCCUCUUUGCAGGAUGCCUGGGGUACGUGGACUGGGGGAGAUCAGCCUGGGCUACACAUCCGGACUGCAGAUAAUGCAGGAGCAAAAACACCUCUUUUGCCCUUCCCCGUUAAAUGUGAGCUGUGGAACCAAACGCUUUGCCCCUCUCCGUUUUUUUGAGAUUUCCUCUGAGGCGCACAGCACCCAGCCACCGUGUUGUCUUUGGACCACGGUGGCGACUUUGGAACGAAGCCGCAAACCGUGAUCCAGUUUCCCUUCCUCCUUGCGGGCCAAAGUCAACAAAUUGUUCAGGCAGGAACCGGCAAAAUGCAGAAUCAGGAGGAAUUGUUAGCGCUGUAGGGUCUGUAAGGAGAGACGGGUCAACCCCAAAGCUGCAUCUGGUGAUGUCUGGAUUGCAGAAGUCUUGAGCCAACAGAUAGCUCAGCUGGUAGAGCACAAGACUCGUACUCUCAGGGUUGGGGGUUUGAGCCCCAUGUUGGGCAAAAGAUUCCUGCAUUGCGGGGGGUUAAGCUAUGGUUUUCCUAGUAGUGAUGUACGGAAGUGAAAGCUGGACCAUAAAGAAGGCUGAUCGCCGAAGAAUCAAUGCUUUUGAAUUCUGGUGCUGGAGGAGACUCUUGAGAGUCCCAUGGACUGCAAGAAGAUCAAACCUCUCCAUUCUGAAGGAAAUCAGCCCUGAGUGCUCACUGGAAUGACAGAUCCUGAAGCUGAGGCUCCAAUACUUUGGUCCCCUCAUGAGAAGAGAAGACUCCCUGGAAAAGACCCUGAUGUUGGGAAAGAUGGAGGGCACAAGGAGAAGGGGACGACAGAGGACAAGAUGGUGGGAGUGUUCUCGAAGAGACCAGCGUGAGUUUGACCAAACUGCGGGAGGCAGUGGAAGACAGGAGUGCCUGGCGUGCUCUGGUCCAGGG